rnacentral:lncRNA from 1 species
GAGUCUCCUGGCAUGGAAAUAGAGAAUUCAAGAAUGAAACUGUGAAAGAAGAGGGAAGAGAGAUUCAACAGGAUGUACAAUGCUCCCCACAUCUGUGAUUUUGAGCUUAUAAAUAAAACAGAAUGGCAAUUUUCGUGUGGUGUUAAUUUCCGUGGAAGAAGAAAAGGCUCGACUCUCUGUCCUAUUUUUCAUGAAUACUGGAAGUAGGGAAUAAACCUGGAGUCUCACGGGUGAAAAGAGACAUUUCCAUAUCACCAGACCACAAACGUGGGUGUUGAUUCUAAGGAUACCCCCAAUAAACAUCUUUCGUGCUAAAGCCCAUUCCAGAAUUUACUUCCCAGCUAUCUUUGAUGUUCAUAUUGUCAGAGGUGGUGGCCGCUGAAACAGGCAAAGACAUGGAGCAUAUCUUGGGUCCAGGACCUUGGGAGUCCAGAGGAAGGUCUUUUUACCAUCAGCAUUCUCUACUGUGUUCAAUGACUGUCAGCCAAAGAUGGCCAGCUUUCCUUCAGAAAGAAAUGCAUUCAAAGAACCUACAUUCACAACAUAAAGAAAUAAAGCCUGCACCUACAGAUCUACACACAUGCCCAUGCACAUGCAGGAAGUGUUCAUCUAAGACUGGACCUUUUAGAAGAAAGCUGGCAUACAUUCGUGAAGGCAUGGGCUUCCAGGCAUGUCAUCUUCACUCACGAAGCACACACAAGACCGCCAAGCAUUAAGAUUCUCCUGUGGAGCCAGGCUACAAUCCUUUAAAUGAAGACAGACAGCUAGGUGGCUGCAGCCCAGCGCUACACCUCACCCCUCCCUCAGUGUCAUGCAGAAAAAAUGUAUUCAGAACUCAGAAGUGAAGUUGUGCAAAUCCAUCAUUGACACUAGCUUCAAGGUUACCUCGGGGGAGCAGAAUGUACCCCUGCCAGAGAGCUGGAUAGAUGAUGAUGGGGACAGAAAUUCUGGGGGAGUUGUAAAUGGCAGCCACUGCCUCUAUAGGAAACCCAAAGGGAACACAGCAGAAGAGGAGGUGGUGGAGGAGCCACUGCCCUCUCGAAGGGUUCAAUGUCAUUCUGCAGACACAACCAAAUAACUUUUUCUUCCCUGCUGCUCCUCCAUUUGAAAUGACAGCCCCGAGCUCGCUUUUUCCUUGAUUGUGUAACUCUGAUUACAGACAAGGCCAAGGCAAUCCCAGGGCAUUACUACAAAGCUAAGGGGUCCCCAAAGAACUAAAGAGUCAGCUCCACAAAAAUCCCGAUUCCUAGCAUGAAACUGAAAUAUGAAACCAAACGGGCAUAGAAAAGGUAUGUGCAUUCGAAUCACAUAGCAGUGACUGGAGUCCUGAGCUGUGUCUGAAGACUGUGAGAUCACGUUUGGAGCUGCUGAUUGGUUUUCAGUGAUGGCCCUGUUGCACAGUGCCGUGAGACUUAGCUCCAUGGCCAAAGACGAUGGUAUCCCCUAGGAGCCCUGUGAGGUUGCUGCUGUUCUCUUAAGACACCAGGUAGCCAUCUGAUCCUCCCUGAGCAAACUAACUGGGCAGACAGGUUUAUUAAACCUCUGUUGGUCCGACUUACAUGAAACAAGAGAGUUAUUUUGUUGUUGUUGUUUUGUUUUGUUUUAAAUUAAACCUGUCUUUGGAGCCUCCUGCUCUUAGUUUACAAGUCUUCUUUGCACACUCUAAUAUUUUAAGAAGCAGCAAACAUUAACUGAGGGUCUA